CUUGAUGAGGCACUUACAUUAUUUGAAGCAAUGGAAAGGAGUCAAUUGAAGCCGAAUCAUGUGAGUUAUACCAUCUUGAUUGAUGGCAUGUGCAAAGCUGGGAAGCUUCAUGAUGCCAAGGAAUUUUUUUCUGGGCUUUUUAAAAAAGGCUUGCAGCCUAAUGUUUAUACAUAUGGUAUAAUAAUUAAAGGCCUUUGCAUAGAGGGAUUGCUAGUUGAAGCAUACAAGGUGUUUAGAGGGAUGGAAGAUGGUGGAUGUUCACCAAAUGGUUGCUGUUAUAAUGU
rnacentral:misc_RNA from 1 species